rnacentral:tRNA from 1 species
GCGCCGUCGGGGGCCUCGCCGGGGCGGUCGCCGCCGUGGUCGGCGCGGUCGCCGGGGACGGGGCGGUCGGCGCCGUUCGGCUGGCGGGUGGCGCG